ACGGCCAGACCAUGCUGAAUAUACCGGUUCUCGUUAGAUCACCGAAGUCAAGCAUCACUGGGCGCGGUCAGUACUUGGGUGGGUGACCACCUGGGAACACCGCGUGCCGUU
rnacentral:rRNA from 1 species